UUGGAGGGCAAGUCUGGUGCCAGCAGCCGCGGUAAUUCCAGCUCCAAUAGCGUAUAUUAAAGUUGUUGCAGUUAAAAAGCUCGUAGUUGAAUUUCGGGGUCAGUAGGUUGGUCAUGCCACAGGUAUGUACUGGUCUCACUGAUUCCUCCUUCCUGAUGAACUGUAAUGCCAUUAAUUUGGUGUUGCAGGGAAUCUGGACUGUUACUUUGAAAAAAUUAGAGUGUUUAAAGCAGGCUAACGCCUGAAUACAUUAGCAUGGAAUAAUGAAAUAGGACGUUCGAUCCUAUUUUGUUGGUUUCUAGGAUUGACGUAAUGAUUAAUAGGGAUAGUUGGGGGCAUUAGUAUUCAAUUGUCAGAGGUGAAAUUCUUGGAUUUAUUGAAGACUAACUACUGCGAAAGCAUUUGCCAAGGAUGUUUUCAUUAAUCAAGAACGAAAGUUAGGGGAUCGAAGACGAUCAGAUACCGUCGUAGUCUUAACCAUAAACUAUGCCGACUAGGGAUCGGACGAUGUUAAUUUUUUAAUGACUCGUUCGGCGCCUUACGGGAAAC
rnacentral:rRNA from 1 species